rnacentral:lncRNA from 1 species
AUAAGGUUUGUCCGUGUCCUGCCAGAGAAAGCAGGACUUGGCUUCACGCUUGGGUUGUGGUGGUACAAAGGACCAUGCUCCACUGUUCUCUCAUUAAUAUUUUCCAUGUUCAUGUCUUCUUGCAGUUUGCAGAGAAAUCUUGUAAUAGACGUUUCCAUACAAAGUCCCUGGGGUUUUUUAUUUGUGCUUUUUUCACAGGGUCUUUCCCAACAUCCAGCAAAAGCAGAAGAAAAUUUUUUUAGAAUAUUUGGACUGGAGCUUUGUGAGAAAACUAAGGAUUUUUUUAUUCCCCUUUCUUUUGGUUCAUCAAAGGACACCCCUCAGCCUUGUGCUUUAAAAUACUGUGGAUCCCAAGCAAGCAGAUUCGUUUCCCUGCCACCCCAACUCAACAGCGAGAUAAGACUCUUCUGUGUCCUCAGGACAGUUUGUGGGGGCUACCACAGAUCCUGUGGAUUCAGUGCAACAUUGCUUAUGAAUCUUGUUCUCAGAUGCCUAAUUCUCCAAGGUUCAAUUCUCCAGGUUCAAUUCUGGAGCUAGGCAUUUAAGUGAAGCAUUUAGUUAUAAUCUCUUUCUGGUUAUCUGGCAAUGACAUUUUUCACUUUACUGGAUUGUGAGUUUCUUGCUCACUUGUAGUGACUCAUACUUCUUCACAUCCACACUGGGUGAAGUAUGAAAGUGAGUGAUAAUUUGGGGACUUUUUUUUUUAAACCUGAAAAAUGCUUUCAUUAAAUGGGCAGCAUUUUUACGAAGACCCAAGAUGACCUGAAUGACACUGAUCUGGAUGACCUCAUACACUGAAGAUUGCAGCAUUAGUGUUGUCUCCAUUUUUCUCUGGGAUGAUGACAUUGUAACUAAGUAAUGGAAGAAACGCUUCAGGCUUUCCUCUAACUGCAACAGAUUAAACCUUUCUUCCAGAUGUAAUCACGUACAUUUUAGUGAAGUCACCAACAAAGUAGAAUUCAGCUGAGCAGGUUUGAAGAUGAUGCUCUGGUGAGACCAUUAGUUGUUAUUUCAUUGGCCUUUUUGGGAUGGUUAAAACCACGUUCACGCUGAAGACCUUAAGAGGACCAUCAUGUGUAGCACAGUGUUGUGCUAAAUUUUUUGACACCCGUGUGGCUAAAUCUGAAUCACAGGUCUGCUACCUACUGCCUUUUCACCCAACGUGGGUUAAAAAUAGCCACUGAAGAAGGAAAAUAGAUGUUCAGUUUUAAUGGCCAGUGGUCCUUCCCAAGAACUUGACCAAGAAAAGUUCCCUGCACUCUGGUGAAGGGGCACACAGACAUAUUUCUUGGAUUGAUUGUGGCUGGUGCACAGAAGGAGUCCCAAAAGAUGGAAUGCUUCACUGAUAGAGGUGUUGAUUUAUCCUUCAACAACAGCUUAGAAAUUUUUGCAACUUCUCUACUUAAAUAAGUCAGUCAAGGAAGGAGCUUGCUACUGUAUAACAUAUGGAGUUGUCAGUAGCUUUUAUCUUUGAAACUGCUAUUAAUAUCUUUUGGGAAAAGGAAAAGGCAGCACACACAAAGAAGGCAGCAGAGCAGUAACAUUAAGUAGGGACUAAUUAAGGGAACAUUAAGGGCUUUAUUAAGUGCUGCAGUGCAGGGGAGGGUAAUGUUGAGCAGCUGAAUUAUGGAAAACAUGACGAAUGUUGCUGUCAUGUAUUUUUAUUCAUUAGGGCCAAACAACUCUCAGGCCUUGGAGCCCCAGCUCCCCUCCAGGGUUUGUCGGUGAGUCUCACGUGGCUGCAGUGAAGUGGUUUAACAAAUUAAUUGUUGCAGCAACCUCAGCAGUGAUCCUCAGGAAGGGCUGCAAAGGGGAAAACUCCUAUUUUCCUGCUGAGGAAACAGAGGAGCGCAAAGAAUCCCAAGUCACUCAACAAUUUCACAUCUCACAUGUUAGAGGUGACAAGAUACUUUAGCAUUUUUUCCACCUUUUUUCUUCUUUUUACUUAUUUUUUUUUUCUUUAAUUGGAUAAGGGGCAAAACCCCAUCAGCAUUCUGCUGUUACACAAGGAGGUGAAGAAUCAGCUGAGGGGGAUGGUACAAGUGGCCCAAAUUAAUGAAGCAUUAGAAAAGUGAACAAGCUUGAUUAAUGUAAUAUGCAGUUUGGUAGUUCAGCAUAAUGCCCUUCCCAGCAGACAAUGUAAUUGUUAUGAAACUAACCCUGAGUAACAAAGUGCUUAAGACAUAUUCUUUGGAGAAGUUGCUGAAGAACAAGUCCCAGUACAAGGUCUUUGGCUGGUAUACACUGGCAAAGUUUAUAUUUGUCAUCUGUCAUUGCUAUUCAUUGACAUUCACCAUGACUAUUUUGUUUUUGUGCAUGACUGUGUGUAGUUCUGUAUGAAAACAAAGCCUAGCUGGCAAUUUUAGCUUAAUUUGGUGGGUCUGAAAAGGUUCUGGAGUUUUUUACAUUUAUCAAUAUCGAUUUUUUAUGUAGAUGGAUUUUUUUUAAUUUUUAAUCUGAAGUAAAUUUCUCAUGCACGUGACAGUAUACUCACCAAGAGUAGUUUCUUGCAAACGUACCUGAGUAAAACUAUUAAAUAACCAAAAUGAGCUGUGUUUGAUGGUAUCACAAAUAAUGGGGAAAAAAAAGCAAUUAUCUUUAAGGAGGAAAAAAAAAUGCUCCUAUGUCAUCUGCCAAUUCAUAAUAGAAUAGUGAGGUUCUUGGUAAGAAAGGAGAGCAGCUAAAACAGGUGAUAGUGUGUAUUGUAGAUCCCAGUGUUAGCACUUACACUGAGAGCAUCUGAAAUCACAAAAUAGUGGAAAAAGAAGGAUGUAAAGUGGUCUGAGUCAUGGUGAUUGGCAUUAUUAAUUAAAAUUUGAGGAUAUACUAAGAGGAUGACUAAAGAAGAAGAAAAAGAAUGAGGGUACAGUGGAAAAUGGGGACGUCCCGAACAGUGUUUAUGGCAACUCAGGGGAGUUAUGCUGAAAUAUUUAGUAUUUCUGGGACAUACUCAUCUGUGGUGGGUAAUUAGACAACAGUCUCACUGAACUCAUAUUGGUGUAAUAUGUAAAUAAAGCCAGUUACAUUUCAGGUUUAUGAAAUGGG